AUCUUCUGCUAAUUAAUGAUCAUCCUUUCAGUUUAUUGAAGAAAUAGAUUCAUUGUCACUUUGCCAAUUCUGGUCUUUUGCUUUGUGAAUAUCACAUACUCAUUCUACACGUAUGUAAGAACAAAACACGAGAUCUAUCUGCAACAAAUUUUUAAAUGCACACAAUACUUAAAAGCCCUAUAGUAUUGCUAACUAUAGGCACAACACUAUACAGCAAAUCUCUGGAAUUUAUUCAUCUUGCAUAGCUAAAACUGUGUGGUCACUGAACUGCAAGUGGAGCUGAGUCCAGGGAUGAUUUCCAGUGGCUUAUAGCGAGAUCUCCAUUCAAGCCUUAUAAAUUCUAGGCCCUGACGUGCCCUUCCCUACAGCGGACACCUGCACACUCUGCUCCAGUACAGAGCCAGCUCUGGAAGAUCUUUUUGGAGUUGUAGUUCAUAGGGAUGGCAACCGACAACCUCUGUGAGCGCUCCUGGUACUUUUGACUCCCUUUUCCAGUCCCAGGAGUAUUCAGGACAAGACCCGCGUCACAUCUUCCUAGGAUAGCCAGCCGAGGCCCUGCAGCUUCUAAAGGACUAUGUUCAACGGGUCAAGGCACACCUGACUUCAGGAGGCUUCCUCUGCAAGGAGCAGGAGGUGGUGGGGAAGGCCCACUGGGCACACAUGGUCACCUUACACCCCAACAGACGCCUCUCUGCUGUCCGGUCCAAGCAAGCCCUUCGCGCCUUCAAAGUACCACACUGUCUCCUGUGCAUUCUGGGGUGAGAUCCUGGAAGCUUUGCUUCUGGUAGAGUUCCACCAGAUCAAGGGCCUUGUGGCUGAGCAGCGUCUCACUCAGGGCCAUCUCCUGGGCGUCAAGAGGGAUACUUCACCAAGCCGGUAUCACCCAGCUCAUUUCCAGGUGGCCUACAACCCUGCUCAGAGCACCUCAAAGAGGCUUUUGCUACAGUCAAGUCCCAAAGAAUUGGGUGGAGGCUGCGAGCUCUAGGCUCUUUGGUCCCAAACGCUGCGGCCCCUGGGGCUCCCUGGAAACAGAAUGAAAUUCAAACUUACUUUCCAUCCCAAGGCUCUCUGUACUUGAAG